AUCAAUUAUUGACAUUACAGAGUUUUCAGACAGCAGAAUUACUGUGUGGUGCCAUCCAGAGAAUGCGAAAUGCUGUGUGUGCCUGCUCUUUCUCUCCUACUCAACUACUGAAGAAGCGCACGUGAACUUGGAGGUGGGAAGAAAUUCCAGUCGUGGGUUGCUCAGUUGGUGGGCAGAUUUCAAGGAUGGAGAACCCGCACUGCGUGUCUGGCUGGAGGCAGAGAGGAGAGGAAGCUCCCAGAGACCCUGUGCCUCAACACGGUGUGGGAAAAGGCACUCACUGACCUGACGUUGGCCAAUCGUCCAAGCCAACUGGCCAGCAAGCCUCCUCCAAAUCCUCCUGAUUCUGCAACCGGAGCUCUGAGAUAGCAUGGCCGUGC
rnacentral:lncRNA from 1 species